GCCUGGGUGGCUCAGUCGGUUAAGCAUCUGACUUGGGCUCAGGUCAUGAUCUCACGGCUCGUGGGUUCGAACCUGCAUCGGGCU
rnacentral:tRNA from 1 species